GUGACUGCGUACCUUUUGUAUAAUGGGUCAGCGACUUAUAUUCUGUAGCAAGGUUAACCGAAUAGGGGAGCCGGAGGGAAACCGAGUCUUAAUUGGGCGUUAAGUUGCAGGGUAUAGACCCGAAACCCGGUGAUCUAGCCAUGGGCAGGUUGAAGGUUGGGUAACACUAACUGGAGGACCGAACCGACUAAUGUUGAAAAAUUAGCGGAUGACCUGUGGCUGGGGGUGAAAGGCCAAUCAAACCGGGAGAUAGCUGGUUCUCCCCGAAAGCUAUUUAGGUAGCGCCUCGUGAAUUCAUCUCCGGGGGUAGAGCACUGUUUCGGCUAGGGGGCCAUCCCGGCUUACCAACCCGAUGCAAACUGCGAAUACCGGAGAAUGUUAUCACGGGAGACACACGGCGGGUGCUAACGUCCGUCGUGAAGAGGGAAACAACCCAGACCGCCAGCUAAGGUCCCAAAGUCAUGGUUAAGUGGGAAACGAUGUGGGAAGGCCCAGACAGCCAGGAUGUUGGCUUAGAAGCAGCCAUCAUUUAAAGAAAGCGUAAUAGCUCACUGGUCGAGUCGGCCUGCGCGGAAGAUGUAACGGGGCUAAACCAUG
rnacentral:rRNA from 2 species